AUUGAACGCUGGCGGCAUGCCUUACACAUGCAAGUCGAACGGUAACGCGGGGCAACCUGGCGACGAGUGGCGAACGGGUGAGUAAUGUAUCGGAACGUGCCCAGUUGUGGGGGAUAACUGCUCGAAAGAGCAGCUAAUACCGCAUACGACCUGAGGGUGAAAGCGGGGGAUCGCAAGACCUCGCGCAAUUGGAGCGGCCGAUAUCAGAUUAGGUAGUUGGUGGGGUAAAGGCUCAUCAAGCCAACGAUCUGUAGCUGGUCUGAGAGGACGACCAGCCACACUGGGACUGAGACACGGCCCAGACUCCUACGGGAGUCAGCAGUGGGGAAUUUUGGACAAUGGACGCAAGUCUGAUCCAGCCAUGCCGCGUGCGGGAAGAAGGCCUUCGGGUUGUAAACCGCUUUUGUCAGGGAAGAAACGCUCUGGGUUAAUACUUCGGGGUAAUGACGGUACCUGUAGAAUAAGCACCGGCUAACUACGUGCCAGCAGCCGCAGUAAAAC
rnacentral:rRNA from 1 species